rnacentral:rRNA from 1 species
CGGAACGCUUUUGCGGUUACGGAAGACAAACUCGGGGNACAGCUUCAAUCAAUUUUCUCAAACGAGAGGAAGGUUGCGGCAAUAACAGGUCUGUGAUGCCCUCAGAUGUCCUGGGCCGCACACGUGCUACAUUGAUCAGCGCAGUGCGUCUUUUUUCCAAUGAAACAUCGGUCUGGCCGUUUUUAACAGUCCUGUACGGUUUUGCAAUGGCUACUGAUAGUGUCUGGUGUUCAACACACUGGGCAAUCUCUUGAAAAUACUGAUAGAAUACCCAACUCGAGCAAAUCUACUACACGCUGGAGGCACAACGGUCCAAGGGCUUAUCCCUUGCGACUGGUGCAGCCAAUGACGUAUGCAACUUGUCAACUCUACGUGGGGAUAGUCGCCUGAAAUUCUUCGACUCGUUCUAACUAGGAAUGCCUUGUACGGGCCUUGGUUCAUUAUGCCGCCCGG